GCAACCGUCCGGGGGAGCCCAUCGACCUCGCGCGCGCGAUGCUGUUCCUGUGCUCCGACGAUUCGGACUUCAUUGUCGGCGCCGAGCUGUUCGUCGACGGCGGUUGCGCCGCGAUGAUGCCUGGAGGCGAUGCGGGCGGAUGAAGCGGUGAUGUCGAUGCGGCGGAUGCACUCCCCACCCGAUCCGCCUUCGCCGCUUCGCAGCUUCGGCGCGAUCGAUCUCCCCACGACGGGGAGGUGGGUUGAAAGGAUUGCGCUUGUGGGGUGUUUGGCGGACGCCUGGGAUCCCACGGAAAGGGGCUUGCGUGGCUAUGGGGCGUUCCGCGCAUAAUGCGUCCAGCCGAACCACUGUCCGGAGCUGGUCGAUGAUCCGCCGUGCGCUCUUUGCUCUUUGCCUGUCGCUUAUAGCCUCUGCCGCCGUCGCGCAGACGACGACCUGGCCGAACUUCAAGGAAGGCGACUACGUCAUCAAGGAUUUCCGCUUCGGAAGCGGCGAGACCUUGCCCGAACUGAAGAUGCACUACCGUACGCUCGGUACGCCGAAGCGCAAUGCGGCCGGCGAGAUCGUCAACGGCGUGGUGCUCCUCCACGGGACCAGCGGCGCCGGCACCUCAUGGUUGCUGCCGUCGCUCGCCGACGAGCUGUACAAGCCGGGCCAGCCGCUCGAUGCCGCCGAGCACUUCAUUAUCAUCCCGGACUCCAUCGGCGUGGGCGGCUCGUCGAAACCGAGUGAUGGGCUACGCG
rnacentral:misc_RNA from 1 species